rnacentral:rRNA from 1 species
UACGGAGGAUGCGAGCGUUAUCCGGAUUUAUUGGGUUUAAAGGGCGCGUAGGCGGGAACUUAAGUUAGAUGUGAAAACUCCGGGCUUAACCUGGAGACUGCAUUUAAAACUGGGUUUCUUGAGGGCAGGAGAGGAAAGUGGAAUUCCUAGUGUAGCGGUGAAAUGCGUAGAUAUUAGGAGGAACACCAGUGGCGAAGGCGACUUUCUGGACUGUACCUGACGCUGAGGCGCGAAAGCAUGGGGAGCGAACAGG